rnacentral:rRNA from 1 species
UAGGCCUAACACAUGCAAGUUGAACGAUGCCUUCGGGCAUAGUGGCGCAUGGGUGGGUACCGCGUGGGAAUAUCCCCUUGGGUUCGGAAUAACUGAGGGAAACUUGAGUUAAUUCCGGAUGAUGACGUAAGUCCAAAGAUUUAUCGCUGAAGGAUGACCCCGAGUAGGAUUAGGUAGUUGGUGGGGUAAUGGCCCACCAAGCCGACGAUCCUUAGCUGGUCUGAGAGGAUGAUCAGCCACAUUGGGAUUGAGACACGGCCCACACUCCUACGGGAGGCAGCAGUGGGGAAUAUUAAGGAUGGGCGAAAGCCUGAUCCAGCAAUGCCGCG